rnacentral:rRNA from 1 species
AUUGAACGCUGGCGGAAUGCUUUACGCAUGCAAGUCGAGCGGCAGCGCGGGGCAACCUGGCGGCGAGCGGCGAACGGGUGAGUAAUGCAUCGGAACGUACCCAGUCGUGGGGGAUAACUGUCCGAAAGGACAGCUAAUACCGCAUACGUCCUGAGGGAGAAAGCGGGGGAUCGCAAGACCUCGCGCGAUUGGAGCGGCCGAUGCCGGAUUAGCUAGUUGGUAGGGUAAAGGCCUACCAAGGCGACGAUCCGUAGCUGGUCUGAGAGGACGACCAGCCACACUGGAACUGAGACACGGUCCAGACUCCUACGGGAGGCAGCAGUGGGGAAUUUUGGACAAUGGGGGCAACCCUGAUCCAGCCAUUCCGCGUGAGUGAAGAAGGCCUGGUUGUAACUAGCUUUGUAGGAGAA